rnacentral:rRNA from 1 species
GGUGCCAGCAGCCGCGGUAAUUCCAGCUCCAAUAGCGUAUAUUAAAGUUGCUGCAGUUAAAAAGCUCGUAGUUGGAUCUCAGUUACGGGCAGGUGGUUCACUUUACAGUGCUACUACCUGAACUGAACCUAUUGCUGGAUCUCUUGGGUGCCCUUCACUGGGUGCCCCUUGAGACCAGAGCGUUUACUUUGAGAAAAUUAGAGUGCUCAAAGCAGGCGAAUGCUUGAAUAGUUGUGCAUGGAAUAAUGAAAUAUGGCCUCGGUACUGUUUUGUUGGUUCACGGUGCUCGAGGUAAUGGUUGAAAGGGACUGACGGGGGCAUUCGUAUUGCGACGUUAGAGGUGAAAUUCUUAGAUCGUCGCAAGACGGACUACUGCGAAAGCAUUUGCCAAGAAUGUCUUCAUUAAUCAAGAACGAAAGUCAGAGGUUCGAAGGCGAUCAGAUACCGCCCUAGUUCUGACCUUAAACGAUGCUAACUGGCGAUCCAGUGGGGGUAUUUAAAAUGACCUGCUGGGCAGCUUCUGGGAAACCAAAGUUUUUGGGUUCCGGGGGAAGUAUGGUUGCAAAGCUGGAACUUAAAGGAAUUGACGGAAGGGCACCACCAGGAGUGGAGCCUGUGGCUUAAUUUGACUCAACACGGGAAACCUCACCAGGCCCAGACACUAGAAGGAUUGACAGAUUGAGAGCUCUUUCUUGAUUUGGUGGAUGGUGGUGCAUGGCCGUUCUUAGUUGGUGGAGUGAUUUGUCUGGUUAAUUCCGAUAACGAAC